GACGAACGCUGGCGGCGUGCUUAACACAUGCAAGUCGAACGAUGAAGCCUAGCUUGCUAGGUGGAUUAGUGGCGAACGGGUGAGUAAUACGUGAGUAACCUACCUUUAACUCUGGGAUAAGCCUGGGAAACUGGGUCUAAUACCGGAUACGACCAAUCUCCGCAUGGGGUGUUGGUGGAAAGCGUUAUGUAGUGGUUAUAGAUGGGCUCACGGCCUAUCAGCUUGUUGGUGAGGUAACGGCUCACCAAGGCGACGACGGGUAGCCGGCCUGAGAGGGUGACCGGCCACACUGGGACUGAGACACGGCCCAGACUCCUACGGGAGGCAGCAGUGGGGAAUAUUGCACAAUGGGCGCAAGCCUGAUGCAGCGACGCCGCGUGAGGGAUGACGGCCUUCGGGUUGUAAACCUCUGUUAGCAGGGAAGAAGAGAAAUUGACGGUACCUGCAGAGAAAGCGCCGGCUAACUACGUGCCAGCAGCCGCGGUAAUACGUAGGGCGCGAGCGUUGUCCGGAAUUAUUGGGCGUAAAGAGCUUGUAGGCGGUUUGUCGCGUCUGCUGUGAAAGGCCGGGGCUUAACCCCGUGUAUUGCAGUGGGUACGGGCAGACUAGAGUGCAGUAGGGGAGACUGGAACUCCUGGUGUAGCGGUGGAAUGCGCAGAUAUCAGGAAGAACACCGAUGGCGAAGGCAGGUCUCUGGGCUGUAACUGACGCUGAGAAGCGAAAGCAUGGGGAGCGAACAGG
rnacentral:rRNA from 1 species